UUGACUCUGGUCUUUCAUUGACUUCACCUCCCCCCUCUCUCUCACGCACGAGAGUUCCAACAAAGGGGCAAAGCAAGCCAUCUACCAGCGAACUCCUUUCAAAGAAGCCAUCUACCGGUGCCGGCGACAGUGACCCGACGAGGAAGCUUAAGUCGCCGACGCUGACGACCCCUCCGACGGUGACGACGCACCAAAGCUUCGCCGCCGCGCCACCGGGCAUGGACGCUGAAGAGAAGAUGCGGCUUAGAGACGAGUUGCGGGCGGCGAAUGCCAAGGCAGCCGAGGACGCCAUAAAGAUCGCCAAGCUUGAGGGCCAGCUGCUAGAGGCCAAGGACUUCAACUCCAAGUUCAUGGACUUACGCCAAGUUCAUGGACUCGGCGGCGCAGGUGAAGGCGGAGUGCACGGCGGAGGUCGCGAAACUCCAGGAGGAGCGCACCGCGGAGGUCGCGAAACUCCAAGCGGAGGUCGCGAAGCUCAAUCACGACCACGCCCGCGAAGGAGUAUGAGGCCCACAUCGCACGCGCCAAGGAGGAGUUGCUGAAUGUCAAGAGGGACCUAGUGCUCGCCCUGUUCCCGGCCAGCAUGGACGCCUCACUGCUGGAACACCUAAAGCUGAAAGCGGAUCCGGGGUGACCCUGCAGAUCGGGAUCCUGCUCAAAGUAUGGGAGAAUUGUAGUGGUUCCAGUCCCUGCUUCAUCAGAAGAUCGAGAAGGAUGUGCAUCUGAAACAAGAUCAUGGUCAUGGCCGAUCCGACAGGGAUCAGAAGGCAGAUCUAUGAGUUUGUGCUAGUGGUCAAGAAUUGCUCAGGAGCUUGUCUUGCUUCAUUAUUGGGGGAUGAGUAUGGGGGCUUGUAAUAAGCUAGCUAGACAGCUGCUGUUGUACGUGUAGGAAAGGGACAUGACUGCUAUUGUAGAUCAAUAGAGGAAUGGGCGACAAUUUAAUCUCACUCGAUCGUGGCCAGUUGGCCACUCAUUGCCCAAAAAAAAAGUUGAAAAGAAAACAGCGAGGAAAACGAAAUGAUCAUUGAUCAGUGGGCAAUCUUUGCCCGAAUCCUCCAUGCAUGCGCGGUUUACGUUGAAGAGCAAUUAUUUUCAGCAAUGUUGAUUUUA